rnacentral:tmRNA from 1 species
GGGGAUGUAAAGGUUUCGACGGGGAUUGUGAAUUAAAGUAAGCGAGUAGAGAUGCGAGCUCUCUUAAAAAACGCAUUUUUAAAAUUAAACGACAACAAUUUAGUUGCACAAGCUGCCUAAUUAAUGGCAGCCGUCUUGCUUAAGAGUACCGCGGCUUUUGCUAAGACGUCGAUUAGCGGUGAACGUGAAUUAAGCUUUUCUCGACUUUUUUCAUGCAUUAGAGAAUACUGAAGUAUAGAGCUUGUCAGUUGGCGCUUUAUAGAUGGAACGUUAAAGAAUUGACUACACUCGUAGAAAGCUUUAUGAAUCAAUUUUCGGACAGGGGUUCAAUUCCCCUCAUCUCCACCA